GGGUUGUGAGGUUAAGCGACUAAGCGUACACGGUGGAUGCCCUGGCAGUCAGAGGCGAUGAAGGACGUGCUAAUCUGCGAUAAGCGUCGGUAAGGUGAUAUGAACCGUUAUAACCGGCGAUUUCCGAAUGGGGAAACCCAGUGUGAUUCGUCACACUAUCAUUACGUGAAUACAUAGCGUAAUGAAGCGAACCGGGGGAACUGAAACAUCUAAGUACCCCGAGGAAAAGAAAUCAACCGAGAUUCCCCCAGUAGCGGCGAGCGAACGGGGAGCAGCCCAGAGUCUGAAUCAGCUUGUGUGUUAGUGGAACGGUCUGGAAAGUCCGACGGUACAGGGUGAUAGUCCCGUACACCAAAAUGCACAGGUUGUGAACUCGAAGAGUAGGGCGGGACACGUGGUAUCCUGUCUGAAUAUGGGGGGACCAUCCUCCAAGGCUAAAUACUCCUGACUGACCGAUAGUGAACCAGUACCGUGAGGGAAAGGCGAAAAGAACCCCGGCGAGGGGAGUGAAAAAGAACCUGAAACCGUGUACGUACAAGCAGUGGGAGCAUCCUUUUGGGUGUGACUGCGUACCUUUUGUAUAAUGGGUCAGCGACUUAUAUUCUGUAGCAAGGUUAACCGUAUAGGGGAGCCGAAGGGAAACCGAGUCUUAACUGGGCGUUAAGUUGCAGGGUAUAGACCCGAAACCCGGUGAUCUAGCCAUGGGCAGGUUGAAGGUUGGGUAACACUAACUGGAGGACCGAACCGACUAAUGUUGAAAAAUUAGCGGAUGACUUGUGGCUGGGGGUGAAAGGCCAAUCAAACCGGGAGAUAGCUGGUUCUCCCCGAAAGCUAUUUAGGUAGCGCCUCGUGAACUCAUCUUCGGGGGUAGAGCACUGUUUCGGCUAGGGGGUCAUCCCGACUUACCAACCCGAUGCAAACUGCGAAUACCGAAGAAUGUUAUCACGGGAGACACACGGCGGGUGCUAACGUCCGUCGUGAAGAGGGAAACAACCCAGACCGCCAGCUAAGGUCCCAAAGUCAUGGUUAAGUGGGAAACGAUGUGGGAAGGCACAGACAGCCAGGAUGUUGGCUUAGAAGCAGCCAUCAUUUAAAGAAAGCGUAAUAGCUCACUGGUCGAGUCGGCCUGCGCGGAAGAUGUAACGGGGCUAAACCAUGCACCGAAGCUGCGGCAGCGACACUAUGUGUUGUUGGGUAGGGGAGCGU
rnacentral:rRNA from 1 species